rnacentral:lncRNA from 1 species
AAAUGAAGAAAUAGUAGAUGAAAUUGACAUAAUAAUUAACUACAAUGUUAAUAUACUCAAAUCCACAUUAAUACAAGAAGAAAUUGCCCAAAAUAGGCUAAAACUAUGAAGUCUCGAGCUCAGCUGCUAUUUGAUACACCAAAACUUGACUUUAAAAAGUAAAAUGUUAUAUGUAUUCUACACAGGAAAAACCAGACAAAAAUACCCCUGAGGGCCUGGCACGGACGUCGCACAAUUGUCGCGCGGUCGCAGAGGGCACUUGGUCUUCAAUGCUCACUUCUAAAACUGGGGGAUGCGGACCGCACAAACAUGCAGACGACCGUGUUGGCUGAGAUACGCGGACCACGUCGAAAUGGGGCGCGGCCGCGUAGCAAUACUUAUCAAAAACCUUACUCUCUGAUCUUUACCCAUGCGGACCGCACUUAUUUGGUGUGCGGCCGCAUGGGCUUUUGCCUUAAAUUUUUGGGUAUGUGAACCUUCAUUGGUGCGGACUGCGUGAAAAGGGGUGCGGACCGCGCAACCUGACAUUGAAUUUGCAUAGUCUCUGAACUAUCCUGCGCGGCCACGUGGGAAAGCAGGCGGACCAUGCAAGUUGACAUUGAAAUAACCCAGCUUCUGAACUCUCUUGUGCGGCCGCGUGGCAAUGCAGUGCGUACCGCGUAGGUCAUCUUGUUCCCCACUUCCGUUGUUUUUUGGCACUUGGCAAAUUUCACUUCUUUUUGAGCCGAUCUUUGAUAUUUGUCAUCUUGUCGCUCAAACCUGUAAUUUAGCGCAAGUUGUAAACAUUUUGGGACUAAUUUAUGGCAAUUAAUGCACAAAGCUUAGGUAAGAAUGGGUAUUAAACAUGUAGAAAUCACAGUUAGUACCAAUCAAAAGCAAUUUCUUUAAGAGAUCGAACAAACUGCUUGACAAGGUAAUCACCAUACUAUCUAGCAUUAUUGCAUGUCUCGACAAAGUGUGCAACAUGUUGCUUGGGAUUUCUUUUACCAUCAAACUUUUCAAAAUUAGGUGGUUGAUAUCUGCUUGGCAUCUUCAAGUUAUAAAUCCUUGGUGUGUACAACUUUGCCUAUGCAAGGAAAGAUCUUGGCGAAGUCUCACUUUUAUCCUUGAUGGCCCCUAUGAUGGGGUCCUUCAAUUGCUCAACAUGAAUCUGCCCAUCAGAAGAGACUUAGAGCUAUUUGGUCAUUGUUGUUAGCUUUGUAGAAGACUUUCCUUUAUCAUGAAUUUCUAGAAGCUGCAUAGGUGCUUGGCUUGAUUCUUCCCCUGUCAUAAUCUCUAUCUUAUUCAUCAACUUGGAAAGUUUGUCAUCUUGAACUUUCAUGUACUUUUUAAGGCCUUCAACUACUUUUAUCAAAAUUUCAAGUUGUUCUUCUAUGGUAGAAGCUUCAAUCAUCAUUGUUUGCAUGACCACUGCAGAUGAUGAAGAAUGAUAUGGAUCAUCACUUGUAUAGAGAGCAGAUUGUGGAGUUACAAGAGGGGAGAUUAGAUCAAAUUCGCUGCUCAACACAUCAUCAUCUUUCUGUAUGAAAGGAUUAUGAGACCAAUGAUGAUAUUCUUUUGAAAGGCUAAAUCUCGCCAAAGUUCGUUCGACCACCUCAACGAUGUUGUUCCCUUCUUUUAGCAUGUACGAAGAGGAUCUUACUUCUUUUGGAGAAGAUGAACCAAAAACAUAAGUUAUGGACGACACUUCCAACACUUGUUCUCCUAGUAUUUCAGGUUUGCUUCUUUUGAUUUGGCCAACAAUAUCCAUGGCAACUUUUAAUCCGGUUUUGGAGUCACCAUCCUUAGUAACGUUGAAUUUGGGAUUGACCUUCGUUAUGUCCAUCUUGGUGUUCUUGAACUUCAAAGAGAAGAGAUGAGAGGUAGAGAUGGUCUCAGCGAGCGUGCCAAAAUUUGUAACAACUAAAUUUCGUUCCUGAAAAAUAAUAACCAAGACAAGAAAUAUGAGACAAAUAUUAUAUUCAAUUUCAAGCGAUGGAGUUACAAACUCUAAAGUAUCUCUAAAUCUAAAGAGAUAUAGUCCUUUGAUUCUCCUCCUCGCGGACGAUGGUUCAAUAUCUUGAAAACUUGAUCUUGAACUUGAUGGAUUUCAUAUUUGUAGUAGGUCAGAACAAUUUGGAGGUCGUCACGAACCAGGAUUUGGUGUUGGGUUAUCACGAAUCGCAGAUUUGAAGCCGUCUGCCUAUGACUUAAGUUCGCCUUUGGAAUUUGACCACAGACGACGAUUGUAGAUAUGGAUGGAGACCUUGAUGCUAUUCUUCAGAGCUUCUUUGGCCUUUCCUUCAGCUUACUUGUUUGUUCCUUAGUCUUCUCGUUUAACGUCUUUAUAUAGGCGUGGGGUGGAGUAGUCUCCAAGAAAACCCUAGUAGAUCAUUGGGCUAGAGAUUUAUGGGCUGACCCAUUUGAUAGAUGACCAACUAAUGGGCCAGUCCAAUGGUAUAUUGGAACUUUAUUAAAUCAAUUUAAUUGGAUUUAAAUAAUUAACCUAUUUAUAUUAACCCAUAAUAUUUAUUUGGACUAAUAUGUAUUUAAUAUAUGAGAAAAUCCAAAUUACCUGUGGAUUCAAGUUUAAUAAAAUUUUAAAUGUCUACAAAAAUAAAAUGAAUAUUUAAUACAUUAGCGACAAACACAGAUUAAAAUUAAAAAUACAUUAAAUAACAUAAUAAUUUAGAAAAUUAUAACAAUAAUAGUGCUCUGGUAAGUCAAUUGUGACAACACGACAUGUCGUCUCAUGAGUUACCGCUCCGUUUGCCCCAUUUUCUGCUUCUUUAUGUUCAUUAUCUAUAUUUGGUGUGAUCGAGUUAAUUUGGAUUGGUUUUGAUAGGAAAUGAGACACUUAGUCUCUUUUAAGAAGGUUUAAGUUGGAAAAGUCAACCGAAUAUUGACUUAUGAGUUAGAAUGCUCGUAUGCAAAUUGUGAUGGUUUGGUUAGAUUUGGGAGGUGAAUUGGGGCUUAGGAGUGUGAUUGGAAGUGAUUUUGGAGGUCCGGUAUAGAAUUAGGCUUGAAUUGGCGAAGUUAGUAUUUUGACGAAUUCCGAUCGAUAGGUAAGAUUUUGAUCCAAGAGUUGAAAUUGAAUUUCGAGAGUUGUUGUAGCUUCGUUAUGUGAUUUGGGAUGUGUGUAAAAAUUUCAGGUCAUUUAGAGGUGAUUUGGUUGGGUUUUUAUCUAAUGCGUGUUUCGGAAGUUUCUAAAGAACUUAGGCUUGAAUUUAAUGUAAUUUGAUGGUUGUUGUUGUUUGAGGUAUUUUAAUAAUUGGAACAAGUUUGAAAGAUGUUUUAGGAUGUAUGCGUGCUUUUGGUUGAGGUUCCGGGGGCCUCAGGGUGAUUCCGAAUGGCUAACGGGAAGAGUUUUGGACUUGUGCAAUCUCAGAUUUUGGUUGUUGCUGAUAUUUUCGCACAUGCGGCUGGGGAACCGUAAGUGCGGUAUCACAAAUGCGUGAAUGGCAUCGCAGAUGCGGAGAGGCUAUGGAAGGCCUAGCACCACAGAUGCGGAAGAAGGACCUCACCUGCGGAGCUGCAGAUACGACAAUUGGACUGCAGAUGCAGUAGGCGGAGUUUAAUGAAUUUCCGCAGAUGCGGAAUAUUUACCGCAGAACCGAUUCCACAGAAGGGGAAAUAUUGACCCCAGAUGCGGUUAUGACUGGGCAGAAGUAUUUGAGGUUCAUCUUCGCAAAUUUUGAAGGGUUUAUUCAUUUUAACUUCAGACUUGGUGAUUUUGGAGAGGGAUUUCAAGGAGCUUCGAUAAGGUAAGGAUUUUUUGGGACCUAUAACAUGAUUAUAUGGUGUUAUUUCAUGAAUCAGGAUAGAAAAUUUAAGGAAUUAAUGGACAAAAAUGGCGGUUUAGGGCCUUAACUUCAGAGAGCAUAAAUUAAGGAUGUGAAGGGCGAGUUGAACUCCGAAUCUUGUAUUUUUGAUAUGCAUAUACUCGUGGGGAGAUAAGGAGUCUAAUAAUGUAAAAAUUUCUGAGUUUUGAGAAAUGGGCUCGGGGCUUGAGUUUUGCUAAUUUUGGAAUUUUUGAUAUUUUUUAAUUAUUUUCGAUUGGGUUUGUUCCGUUAGUAUAUUGUGACGCAUUUGUUGUGGUUUUGGUCAGAUGUAACCUACAACGAGACCGAUUUGAGAGGCAAGGGCAUAGCGAGCUAGAGUUUUGGCCGGCUUGAGUUGAGUAAUGAAUGUAAUGACGUCUAGGGGGUUUGAAACCCCGUAUUUGCAUAACGUAGUGCUAUAUUGAGAUAAGACACACACUUGGAGAUGAGUGUGUGGUCAUUUGCUAUUGGGGAUUGUGACUUGAUCCGUCCUGAGUGAUGUUUUACCGCGUAUUUGAUCGAAGCUUAUUUGAAAUCAUCAUUAUUUGGACUAAUUGUUAUAUUUGGGCUUCAUGCCAACUGUUUGGACCCUUUCGGGGGUUGUUAUACAAUUUUCUCACUAUUUUGACAUAUUACUUGAACUCAACACUAUUGAUUAAAACUAUUUUGCAAACUUAGCCACUUUUACUCAGAUUUGAAUCUUAAAUUAUAUUUCUAAUGAUGUUUUGGCUGAGGACUACUAUUUUAUUACUGCCCGAGGGGCUUAUAUGAUUCUGGAUCGAGUAUGCGAUCGGGCUGCGCACCGCAGCAGUAUUAUAUUGAUAUUAACAUGAGGCUGAGGGCCUACUUGAUGCCACGAGAUGGCUUGUUAUUGAUCUUGGGUUGUAAGGGGCCCCUCCCAGAGUCUGCACACCACCAGUGAGCGCCGUCGACGAUAAAUAAAUGGAUCGGGAUACAAGCCGAAAUGGGUACUAGCGAGUACCGUACUAUAUGCUGCAUUUCUUUAUUUGACUGUCAAUUAUUUGCUUAUCUGUAUAGCAUUUGCAUAUUUCGUUUUCACUAGUUUACCGAUUGCAUAAUACUUGGUUUAAUUUUCUGUAUUAUAGGUUACAAUGUGUCUAUCCAUGGUUUCUUACUGUCAGUCUUUAUUUAUGUUUAUUACUCACUGGGUUGGAGUACUCUCAUUACUCUCUGCACCUUGCGUGUAAAUCCAGGUUCAUUUGAUAUUUUUGAGGACUUCCUGGUGGGCAACAUAUAUCUGGGAGCAUCACGGUAGCUGCUUGACGUCUGCAACCCUCAUCUUCCCCUUUCUCUUAUUGUGUCCUUCCAUACUUCUUAGAAUGAUAUGUAAUAGGUUGAUACUCAUGUAUUAGAGGCUCAAACUUGUGACACCAGAUUCAUCGGGCUAUAUUGUAGGAUUAUUAAUUGAGAUUCCGCAUGUUUAAACUGUUAUAUUCAGACUUGUGGCAUUAUGACUUAGAAAAUUACAUGUGUUAAUUAAUCAUGAACUGUAUAAAAAUGGUUAAGGUUGUUAAUUGAUCGGGCUUGCCUAGCAGUGUGUUGGGCGCCAUCACAAUCAGGGUUGGGGUUGUGACAAGUUGGUAUCAGAUUCUAGGUUACUUGGUCUCGCAAGUCAUGAGCCGGUUUAGUAGAGUCUCGCAGAUCGGUAGGAAAAACUUCAUAUUCUUGCAACUUUUAUUGCGCGACUUUGUUGAUCUACUAAACUUCUGUAUUCUAUUCUCUCGCAAAUGGCGAGGACUUGCGCUACCGGAUGAGGUGGACGACCAAUAAUACCACCCACUAAGGCCACAAGCGGCCGUGGACGUGGUCGUGGUCGAGGAAGAGGUAGAGCAGCGAGGGCAGCACCUGUUUAUCCACUAGCUACCCCAACUGAGGAUCAGGCUCCAGCUGAGGAUACUCCAGCCGCACCUAUUCAGGCACCAGUUGUGACCAUCGUGAUUCCGGGUCUUCAGGAGGCUUUGGCUCAGAUCUUAUAAGUUUGCACUAGUAUGGAUCAGGCUGUUCAUCCACUACCAUAACAAAUACUUCACGCGCCAUGGAAGGCAAUCAGACACCUGCUGCUCACAUACCUAAGCAGGUAGUGCAGGGAUUGUAGACACCGGGAGCACCUCCAGUUUAGCUAGUUUCACAAGUUUGGGAUUUCGUGGUUUUAUCUAUGCCAGAUGAUGAGCAGAGUUGUUUUGAAAGGUUUGGUGCGCUCCAGCCACCAUCAUUCAGUGGUGCUGAGGGCUAGGAUGCCCAGUGUUUUCUUGACAAGUGUCAGUGUGUGAUUCAUACAAUAAGGAUUCUUGAGUCGAGCGGUGUGGCAUUUACUACCUUUCAGUUCUCAGGGGCUGCUUUUACUUGGUGGGAAGAUUUUGAGAGGCAUAGUCCUAUCGGUGCAGCGACCCUUACUUGGCAAUAGUUCGUUGUUCUCUUCUUGGAGAAGUAUGUACCGUAGUCCCGUAGAGAGGAGCUACGUAGACAGUUUGAGUGGUUGACUUAGGGGGAUAUGACAGUGACCCAAUAUGAGAUGAGGUUUUCGCAGCUGGCACGUCAUACUAUUUGGAUGAUUCCAAUAGAUCUCCAGAGGAUUAGGAGAUUUGUGGAUGGCCUUAACUACCAUCUCUUUAUUCUGAUGACUCGAGAGAGAGAGAGAGAGAGUAUUGGGUGCUAAGUUCGAGGAGGUGGUUGAUAUAGUUCGUGAGAUUGAGACGGUUCGUCGUAGAGAGCGAGAGGAGUAGGAGGCCAAGAGGCCUCGAGGAUCGGGUAGUUUUAGUAGUGCUCCGUCUAGGGGCUAGUUCCAGCGUGGUAGAGGCGUUCUUUCCGGCCCACUCAGUCGGCCCGUCCAGAGUACAAUGGGGCAUCUUCAGGCCAUGGUCAUCAACGGUUUCAGCAGGGCCAGUCCUCACCUAGUGCCCUCCCAGCUCAGAGUUAUUCUCAUGCCUCAUCAGUCCAGGGUUCCUCCGUGGCAGGCCUUCUACUGGUCAUUUUAGUGCCACGAGCUCCCUUCAGUGCCCAUCUCAAGCACCGGGUAGGUUUUCUGAGUGCGGAGAGUUUGGACAUAUGAGGAGGCAAAUGCCUCGACUUCAUGAUAGACAGUCUCAGUAGAGGGGUCAGCCCUUGACUUCUACUCCGGUUAGUUCACCACAUGCCCAGCCAACUACGGUUGGAGGUCAGGACGUCAGGGGUUUCCCCAGAGGAGGAGGUCAAUCAAGCGGUGGCCAGGCUCUUUUUUAUGCUAUUCCAGGGAGGACAAAUGCCAUUGCUUCAGAUGAUGUCAUUACAUGUAUCUUUUCAGUCUGCCAUAAAGAUGCCUCUGUAUUAUUUGAUUUCAGUUCCACCUAUUCAUAUGUGUCUUCAUAGUUUUCUCAUUAUUUGGUUACGCCUGGGAGUCCUUUUUUGCACCUGUUUAUGUGUCUACCCCGAUAGGCGAUACUGUAGUUGUGGACCAUGUGUGUCGGUCAUGCAUUGUGAUUAUUGGGGGUCUGGAGACCCGAGUUGAUCUAUUGGUAUUGAGCAUGAUGGGCUUUGAUGUUAUUUUGGGCAUGGAUUGGUUAUUUGUGUGUCAUGCUAUUCUAGAUUGUCAUGCUAGACACUCACUUUGGUUAUGGCGGUUGUAACCGCAGAUCGAGUGGUGAGUUGUGACUGAUUAUGUCCCUAGUAGAGUUAUAUCUUUCUUGAAGGCCCAACAUAUGGUUGGGUAGCCUUUGUACGGGAUGUUGGAGCUGAGACUCCUAGCACUUAUUCUAUUCUAGUUGUGAGGGAUUUUCCCGAUGUAUUUCCUGCAGACCUGUCGGGCAUGCCACCGGACAAGGUUAUUGAUUUUGGUAUUGACCUGGUGCCGGGCACUCACCCCAUUUCCACUAUGCCGUAUCAUAUGGAACCAGCGGAGCUGAAAGAAUUGAAGGAGCAGCUUUAGGAGCUCCUAGAUAAGGGGUUCAUUCGGCCUAGUGUGUCACCGUGGGGCGCACCGAUUUUGUUUGUAAAGAAAAAGGAUGGCACAAUGAGAAUUAAUUGAACAAGGUAACAAUGAAGAACAAGUACCUUUGCUUGGUAUUGAUGAUUUAUUCGACCAGCUUCAAGGACCGAGGGUGUUUUCUAAGAUGGAUCUCCUUUCGGGCUAGCACCAGUUGAAGAUCAAAGAUUCAGAUAUUCCUAAGACUGCUUUUAGGACUAGAUAUGGUCACUAUGAGUUUCUUGUCAUGCCUUUCGGGUUGACCAAUGCCCCAACAUCGUUCAUGCAUCUGAUGAAUAGUAUAUUUUGGCCUUACCUUGAUUCUUUUGUUAUCGUGUUCAUUGAUUAUAUUUUGGUGUUCUCGCGCAGUCAGAAGAAGCACGCGGAGCAUUUGCGAGUUGUAUUGAAGAGAUUGAGGGAGGAGAGGCUUUGUGCAAAGUUCUCCAUGUGUUAGUUUUGGCUUGGUUCAGUGGCUUUCUUGGGACACGUGGUGUCCAGUGAGGGUAUCCAGAUUGAUCUAAAGAAGAUAGAGGCGGUGCAGAGUUGGCCUAGACCAUCCUCAGCCACAGAGAUUCAUAGUUUUCUUAGGUUGGCAAGCUAUUAUCAUCGGUUUGUUCAGGGAUUUUCAUCUAUUGCAUCGCCCUUGAUCAAGUUGACUAAAAGGGUGCUCCAUUUGUGUGGCCGGACGAGUGUGAGGAGAGCUUUCAGAAGCUCAAGAAAGUUUCGACCACAACUCCAGUAUUGGUUUUUCCCUCAGCUUCAGGUUCAUAUACCAUAUAUUGUGAUGCUUUGAGAGUUGGGAUUGGUCGUGUAUUGAUGAAGGAGGGUACAAUUAUUACUUAUGCUUCUCGUCAGUUGAAGCCCCAUGAGAAGAACUACCCUGUUCAUGAUUUGGAGUUGGUUGCUGUAGUUCAUGCAUUGAAGAUUUGGAAGCACUACUUGUAUGGCGCAUCUUGUGAGGUAUUCACCGUUCAUCACAGUCUUCAGCAUUUAUUCAAUCAAAAUGACCUUAAUUUGAGGCAUCGGAGAUGUCUAGAGUUGCUUAUGGAUUAUGAUAUUACUAUUCUGUAUUAUUCGAGAAAGACCAAUGUAGUGCCGAUGCUUUAUGCUGGAAGGCAGUGAAUAUCGGGAGUUUGGUGUACAUUCCAUUUGGGGAGAGACCCUUUGUAGUUGAUGUUCGGGCCUUGGCCAAUUGGUUGGUGAGAUUAGAUAUUUCAAAUCCUAGCCGGGUUUUAGCUUGUGUGGUUUCUCGGUCUUCCUUAUAUGAUUGCAUCAUAGAGUGCCAGUCUGUCAAUCCACAUUUGUUUGUCCUUACGGAUAAAGUUCAACAUGGCGAUGCCAGAGAUGUGACCAUUGGUGAUGAUGGUGUGUAGAGGAUGCAGGGUCGGAUCCGUGUGCCCAAUGUAGAUGGGCUUAGAGAGUUGAUUUUGGAGGAGGCACAUAGCUCGCGGUAUUCCAUUCAUCCAAGUUCUGCAAAGAUGUAUCAGAAUUUAAGGCAGUACUAUUGGUGGAGAAGAAUGAACAAAGAUAUUGUGGUAUUUGUAGCUCGGUGUAUCAAUUUUUAGCAGGCGAAAUAUGAGUAUCAGAGACCGGGUGGCUUGCUUCAGCAGAUGAAUAUUCCCAGUGAGAGUGGGAGAGGAUUACUAUGGACGUUGUUGUUGGACUUCCUCGGACUUUGAAGAAAUUUGAUGCUAUUUGGGUGAUUGUGGAUCGACUGACCAAGUCUGUGCACUUCAUUCCUGUAUGUACUACCUAUUCUUCAGAGCAGCUAGCAGGGAUUUAUAUCCGGGAGAUUGUUCAGUUGCAUGGUGUUUCAGUUUCCAUUAUCUCAGAUAAAGGUAUUCAGUUUACGUUGCAGUUCUAGAGAGCCGUGCGGAGAGAGUUGGGUACUCAGGUGGAGUUUAUCACAUCGUUUCAUUCUCAUACUUACAGACAGUCCGCGCGUACCAUUCAGAUAUAAUAGGACAUGUUAUGUGCAUGUGUUAUUGAUUUUGGAGGUUCAUGGGAUGAAUUUUUGCCACUUGCAGAGUUUGCCUACAACAAUAGAUGUCAAUCCAAUAUUCACAUGGUACCGUAUGAGGCUUUGUAUGGGAGACAGUGUCGAUCUAUAGUUGGUUGGUUCGAGCCAGGCGAGGCUAGGCUAUUGGGGACAGAUUUGGUUCAGGAUGCCUUACAGGAAGUGGAGGUGAUUCAGGAGAGACUUCGUGUAGCGCAGCCGCGUCAGAAGAGUUAUGGGGACCAGAAGGUCCGAGAUGUAUCCUAUAUGGUUGGUGAGAAGGUUCUGUUGAUGGUUUAGCCCAUGGAGGGUGUUAUGAGAUUUGGAAAGAAAGGACAGUUGUGUCCGCAAUUCAUUUGGCCUUUUGAGGUACUUAGAAGGAUUAGAGAGGUGGCUUAUAUGCUUGUUUUUCCACCCAUCUUGUCGAGUGUGCAUUCAGUGUUUCAUGUUUCUAUGCUCCAAAAGCAUGUUGGGGACCCGUAUCAUGUUUUGGACUUCAGCACGGUUCAGUUGGAUGAUGAUUUGACCUUUGAUGUGGAGCCAGUGGCUAUUUUGGGUCGUCAUGUUCGAAUGUUAAGGUCAAAGGAUAUAGCUUCAGUGAUGGUGUAAUGGAGAGGUUGGCCCGUGGAGGAGGCUACCUGGGAGACCGAGCGGGAGAUGCGGAGUAGAUAUCCUCACCUAUUUGAGGUUUCAUGUAUGUUUUUUGACUCGCACGAGGUCGAGCGUUUGUUUAAGUUGGGGAGGAUAUAAUGACCCGACCCGUCGUCUCAUGAGUUACCGCUCCAUUUCCCCCAUUUUAUGCUUAUUUAUGCUUCAUUAUAUGUAUUUGGUGUGAUCAAGUUGAUUUGGAUUGGUUUUGGUAGGAAAUGAGACACUUAGUCUCUUUUAAGAAGGUUUAAGAUAGAAAAUUGAACAGGAUGUUGACCUAUGAGUUAAAGGGCUCGGAUGCAAAUUCCGAUGGUUUGGUUAGCUUCAGGAGGUGAAUUGUGUCUUAGGAAUGUAAUUGGAAGUGAUUUUCGAGGUCCAGUGUAGAAUUAGGCUUGAAUUGGCGAAGUUAGUAUUUUGGCGAAUUCCGGUCGAUAGGUGCGAUUUUGAUCCGAGGGUUGGAAUGCAAUUCCGAGAGUUGUUGUAGCAUUUUUAUGUGAUUUUGGAUGUGUGUGAAAAAUUUCAGGUCAUUCGGAGGUGAUUUUGUUGGGUUUUGAUCGAAUGCGUAUUUCGGAUGUUUUUGAAGAACUUAGGCUUGAAUUUGAUGUAAUUUGAUGGUUACUGUGUUGUUUGAGUUGUUUUGAUGAUUGGAACAAGUUUGAAUGAUGUUUUAGGAUGUAUGGGUGCUUUUGGUCGGGAUCCCGGGGGCCUCGGGGUAAUUCUGGAUGGCUAACGGGAAGAGUUUUGGACUGGUGUAAUGUCAGAUUUUUAUUGUUGCUGGUAUUUUCACACCUACCCCUAGGGAACCACAAGUGCAGUAUCGCAGAUGCGGAGAGGCUGUGGAAGGCCUGGGAGCUCAGAUGCGGAAGAAGGACCGCACCUCCGGAGCCGUAGAUGCGGUAGGCAGAUUUUAAUGAAUUUCCGCAGAUGCGGAAUAUUGACCGCAAACGCGGUUAUGACUGGGCAAAAGUAUUUAAGGUUCUUCUAUUCAUUUUAACUUCGGACUUGGUGAUUUUGGGCGAUUUUGGAGAUGGAUUUGAAGGAGCUUCGAUAAGGUAAGGAUAUUUGGGACUUAAACACGAUUCUAUGGUGUUAUUUCAUGAAUUAGGACUAAACAAUUAAGGAAUUAAUGGACAAAAAUUGUGUUUUUGGCUUGAACUUAAGAGAGCAUAAAAUAAGGAUUUGAAAGGCCAAUUAAACUCCGAAUCUUGUGUUUUUUAUAUGAAUAAACUCGUGGGGAGAAAAGAAGUCUAGUGAUGUGAAAAUUUCUAAGUUUCAAGAAGUGGGCCCGGGGCUUUGGAUUUUCAUAAUUUCAGGAUUUUUGAUAUUUUUUGAUUGUUUUCGAUUUGGUUUUGUUCCCUUAGCAUAUUCUGACAUUUUCAUUGUGGUUUUGGUUAGAUUCGACGUGCGAGGAGGCAGAUUUGAGAGGCAAGGGCAUAGCGAACUAGAGUUUUGGCCAGCAUGAAUUGAGUAAUAAAUGUAAAUGAUGUCCUAAGGGUUUGAAACCCAGGAUUUGCACAUCGUAGUGCUCUAUUGAGGUGACACACGUGCUUGGAGACGAGCAUGGGGUCGUUUGGUAUUGGGCAUUGUUAUUUGGUCCAUCCCGAGUGAUGUUUUACCGCGUAUUUGAUUGAAGCUUAUUUGAUGUCAUCAUUAUUUGGACUAACUGUCAUGUUUAGGCUUCGUGCCAACUGUUUGGACCCAUCGGGGGAUUGUUAUUAACUGUUUCCUUACUGUUUUGAUAUAUUACUUGAACUCAACCCUAUUGUUUAAUAUGGUUUUGCAACUCAGCCACUUGUACUCAGAUUUAAAACAUAAAUGAUAUUUCUGUUGAUGUUUGGCCUAAGGACUUCUAUUUUAUUACUGCCCGAGGGGCUUAUGUGAUUCUGGACUGAGUAUGGGAUCGGGCUGCGCACCGCAACAGUAUUAUAUCUAUAUUGACAUGAGGCGGAGGGCCUAGCUGACGCCAUGAGAUGGCUUGUUAUUGCUCUUGGGCCGUAAGGGGCCCCUCCCAAAGUCUGCACACUCCUAGUGAGCGCCAUCGAUGAUAAAUAAAUGGAUCAGGCUGCACGCCGCAGCGAGUACUAGCGAGUACCGUACAGUGUGUUGCAUUUCUUUAUUUGACUGUCAUUUAUUUGCUUAUAUGUUUUAGCAUUUCCAUAUUUCGUUUUCAUUGGUUUACUGAUUUCAUAAUAGUUAGUUUAAACUAUUAUAUUAUAGGUUACAAUGUGUCUUUCCAUGAUUUCUUACUCUCAGUCUUUAUUUAUGUUUUUUACUCACAGGGUUGGAGUACUCAGAUUACUCCCUGCACCUUGCGUGCAGAUCCAGUUGCAUCAGAGAAUGUUGAGGACUUCCAGCUGGGCAACACAUAUCCGGGAGCAUCAAGGUACUUGCUUGACGUCCGCAGCCCUAAUCUUCCCCUUUUUCUUAUUGUUUCCUUCCGCACUUCUUAGAACGAUAUGUAAUAAGUUGAUACUCAUGUAUUAGAGGCUCAGACUUGUGACUGAAUUGAUCGAGCUAUAUUGCAGGAUUAUUAUUUAAGAUUCCACAUGUUUUAACUCUUAAAUUGAGACUUAUGGUAUUAUGACUUAGUAAAUUACCUGUGUUAAUUAAUCAUCAAUUGCAUUGAAAUGGUUAAGGUUGUUAAUUGGUCGGGCUUGCCUAGAAGUGUGUUGGGUGCUAUCACGAUCGGGGUUGGAGUCAUGCCACGAUUCCUCCAACAAUAUCAUUAAAAUAUUGAGUCUAUGGGGCAGAGGAUUGUUGUGUGGUUGUUGAAAUUGUUGGAUUCUUUUAUCCAUUGUUGUUUUUGUUCUUUUCGAAUAAAUUCAUGAAUAUCUGGAUCAUCAAUAGAAUCUAAAUUUGUCUGUAAAAUUUUAUUUUCUUCUUUAAAUUCUUAUAGCUUCAAAGCUCUAUCUUUUAUCUCCAUAUCUCGCUGCCUCUAUGCACUUGACUAUGCCAACAACUCAACAACUCCUUUUUUCUGAUUGGACCAUUUUUUAGUAGAUGAAAAACCUUCAUUAAUUUUUCUCUUCAUUUUUUCUUUAUUCACCCAAUAUGUCGUUCUGGUGAUGUGGAAUCAUCUGCGACACCCCCAUUCAAAUUUAGUGAAAAUGAUAAUUUAGGAGAAGAUACUAGAUGUGAAAUUAAAGAGUAAGAGUCUUAGACUGUGUUGAUAUAUAAGACGAGCCUUGCUUUCGAAUUUUUAUCUUCCUGCAUCGACAUCAUUAAACUUCUCAAAAUCCUUCAACAUAUCCAACACAUGAUCAAAUUUAAAACCUUUUUUGUAUUUCAGAUCUUGUAUAAGUAAACAUGCUGCUUGAUUAAUCUGCAUUUUUUUUAAAAAAAGUUAAAGAAAAAGUGUAAGUAAUAUACAAAUAAAGCUAAAGUAACUAAAAAAUAAAUACUCACAAUAUCUUAUGUGAAGCUCCACUAGGAUAUAAUUUUUCAACUUCUAUUGAUACCCAAUUUUUUCCUAUGUAUUUUUAUAUGCAAAAACUUUCAAAAGAGCAUGUGCACGCAUAUAUAAGAAUGCCCAAGAGUUUUGGGAUUUUUUUCCUAAUUUUAAAUAUUUAUAAUCAAUUUAUUGUCUAUUUUUUGUAAUGCAAAAUCCAAUAAUUAUUUCCAGUAUUAUCAUUUUGGUGAAUAUUUUAUUUCUACUCUCACAUGUAUACCAUAAUUAAGGUGAUUUUUGUAUAUUUUUAUAAAUUUAUUUGAUAUUUUAAAAGCUAAAUUGCAUAUAAUUGCAAUUAUAGCCUAUUUUAUGAUUAACAGUAUUUUACAAUUAUAAAAUUAUUUUCAGUAUUUUUAGAAUAAUAUUUAUAUAAUAUUUGUUGGAUCAUUGUUAUUAAUUCACUUUUAAAAUCAUUAUUACUAUUUUCAUAAAAUAAAAGGUGAAAAUGCGCUAUUUAACAUUUACUCUAUUUCUAUUUCAAUUACAUCCUCAUUUCCUUUCCAUUUUAGCCUCACUUUGACCCUCAAUUCUGCCAAAAUUAAAACCAACCCAAUUCCAACCCAACCCAUGACCCAAUUUUAAAACCCACCGGCUCCUCUUUAAUCAUGGCCGUUGAUCAUUUUGAUCAAUGAUCGUGAUUAUUUCUUUCCUUUUAAUUUCCAAACCCACCUAAACCUAGUUCAUUUCUAUCAGAGACACCACCUUUAAUCCCUUCCUCUCUUAAACUCUCCCUAGCUUCUCCGAAACCAUACCCAUAUCCUACCUUAUUCUACCACGUUUCCAAUGGAAUCCAUGGCAUUCCAGGCCAUGGAUGACCUGUACUCACCCUUUCUCACCAUUAGACCUAAGUUGUUCAGUGAUUUGAAGCCCAACUCUGAUGGCUCUCUUGAAAUCUUUCUCAGAUCUGUAGAUCUAUGGCCUCUUCCGCCAUUAUUCCGCCGUGUUCAAGCAAUAUGAGUCUUUUCGACUUAGGAUCCGACUUUCCUCAAGAUAUUCCUUAUUUCUAGGAUUUUUUCUACAACUCUAUGCCGUCUGAGGUUCUGUACUAGCUUAUUUCUUUUAUAUCUAUGACAUGCUUGAGCGUUACUUGACGUUUUAAAGUUUUCCCCCAAUUUUCCUUUUCAAAAUCAUUCAAAUUCGAUUUUUAGGGUAUCUAAAAGGUUUCUUCAAAUAUUUUUCUGAUUCGUCAUCUUCUUUCUUUAUGUGUGUUUUAUGCUCGUAUGUUUUCUUCUUAUUACGCAUGAGUUUUCUCUCUUGUUUCUUUUCAAUUAUGCAAGACUCUUCUAUUUUUUGCUGUUAAUCUUAUGCUCACAUAUUAAUUUAUGUUAUUUUCCUUACUCUUUGUUAUAUGUGUUUAUGGUUGAAUUCUGUGAUUUUUGUUCACAUUAACGAACUCUGUUCGUGUUCCUGCUAAGCAUAUUUUUUCUCUACUUUUGUUUAAAACUCGUAUCAUCUCUUUCUUCUGAACUUGUUUAACUCCGAGUUGUCUCAAACAUGGUCUCAUGACCUUGAAUCAGUGUGCUUUCAAUUGUGUAUAUUUAUCUCUCUUAAGUCUGUGAAAAAGACUUCUGAGCCUCUUUCAAUGACCUUUUUGACUCUAUUCGAAACCCUAGGUUUUGGGGUUUCUUUGACAUGUGGUACUAGGGUUCCACUUUGGGACCCUAGGCUUUCAGACUCACUGUGAAUCAGUAAUUGAACUUGGAUCCCUUUUUCUUGUGACUACGAGACUUUCAGUGUUAACUCUUUUUCUAAGUAACCUAUCGAUUAUUUUGUUUGAUCUGUGUGCUUUAUAUAUGAGAAAUUUUUCUUUCAAAGGUUUUUAUCAACCAACUGAUUGAUUCUGAAAUCCCUUUAAUAAGGCUAAUGAUUUGUAACUGAUUUUUUUUCCGACUGAACCUCCUUUACCCUUCUUGACUUGAUUCAUUCGAAUUGAACUUGUAAUUUUGGUUUCAUGGCUGUUUGAUUGAUUCCCUUGCCAUGUUUGGCACAAAAGUGUACCAUUGAUUGUUUUACUUAAAUAACUUCUAUGUAUUUACCACUUUUGUGCAACUUUGAAAGGUUUUAAAUAGAAAUCUCUUUCCUUAAUUAAUUUCUACCCAUUGGAAUCAGAAUCCCUUAACCAAAGGGAGACUGAUUUAAAUGAUAUUUCCUUGCCUUUCUUAUUUGUUUCUCAGCACUAUAAAAGGGGCUACCCUUCUACACUUUUAAGACAUCCACACUUCUAGUAUAAUACCUUAGAACUGCACCUUACACUUUACGAAUUUCACACCACCUUCACUACUAGUCUUCCAAUUCAGUACUUGCACACUUCCAGUAAUGUUUUGAAUUCAACAUUGUGCUUUGCUUGAGAUCUUUUGGAAUCUCUUUGUUUGAAACUUGGCUCUCUCAAGACUACUAUUUUCUUACUUGUUUUCCUUUGAAACUAGUAUGUUUUUCAAUUAGUUUUAUGCAUCAUCCCUGUGUGUUUACUUUACAGUUCCAACAUUCUUGUUUGCAUUACUGCUCAUGUUCAAUGAUCUAUGCUAAUAAUCUUCUUCCUUGUACCUAUUUCUAUUGUGAUUCCAUACCUCUAUUACCUUCUAUGUGUCUGAGUUAAGGAUCUUGGCAUGAUAGUGUCAAAGUUACUGCCCAGUUUAGAACCUAAUCCUCAAUGGAUCCUAACUCCUAAUAUUUGGCUAACAGGCUGGUCAGGGGCGUACUAGCAUCCCAACUGCUGGGCAUGACCCACCAGCCUACUAUGGCCUCUCCUUUAUUCCCAUUUAUACACUUACACUUCACUUAUUCUUAGACUCUUAAGUUCUGCCCCCUCUUAUGAGCCUUGCUUUGAGACCUUGACUUCCUUCUUAACUUGGACUUCUGAGGGCUGGCAUUUCCACACUGCGCUGUAAUCUUAAUUCUGCAACAUGGUUGGGGUGGAAGCAUUGCCUGGAGUCCUUGAGUCCCUUGGGAACUUUGAAACACCCCAAACAUGAGAAAGGCUUUUGGAAAUCUGAUCCUGGAAGUUUGUUUAUCUCAUAUUAUUGGACUUUGAGUCUGAAUUAGGCUGUUUGGAUGUAGCUGGAACUUCAGAUGUAAUUUUACUUUUCUUUUCUGAUUCGUUUGGGUCUGUAAUAAUUUGUAAUAACUAUUGGGUAUGACUAGUGGAAAGGGAUGUGGAUUAAUGCAUGCAAAUGGUCGAAAACUUGCCUAUAAGUUGUUUAUAAUUUCUGGAUUACUGCAUUUUAGAACUCAUGCCUAUAAGUUUUCUGCACUUCUGCAUUUCUGCAUCAUAGAAAUUAUGCUUAUAAGUUCUGCAUAUAGAAAUUAUGAUCUUAGGUUUCUGCACUUCUGCAUAUACAUGUCGUUAGGCAAACAAUCAUAUGUUUGAUAAAUAAUCAACUUCAUUCUAGAUACCAUGCUUAUAGGACUCUUGCAUUUAUGUAAUCGUUUAAAACUAAUGACGCUUAGAAAUCAUACCUAUAGGAGUAAUCAAUUGAAUCAGCUUCGUCAAUUUCAUCUAUAGAUCUAAAAAUCAGUCAUAUGGUCGUUUAAAGUCUGCAGAUCUUUUGUUUAUAUAAUCAACAACAUUUUUCUAGAAAUAAGUCCGCUUUGUUAGAUGUCAUGCCAAUAGGUCUCACACAAACUAUUAGGUAAUUAGUUAACUAUGUCAGUUUUGAUAAUUACAUCCAGACAAGGCUAAUUUGGACUCCUCAUAUGUGAUAAAUCAAUCUAUCCUACGCUUUAAUUUAAUUUAGACCAAAACCAGUAUUUGAAGGCAUGCUAUAUUUGCUAUUUUAAGUGAGGAGGCCAGUGUGAACCUUAAUUGCUAUGUGUUUCCCCCUAACUGUUUGUGUAUUUUUUGCUUGUCUCCUAGACUUUUAUCAUUUUAAAACUAUGAAAAGCCCCAACCCCUUCCCAUUAGGACUAGUAGUCUCAAUGCCUCCGAACUGAUAGGAUUGGCACGGGUAAUAGCAUACAAUAAGUAACGAUACUAUUCCGCGCUUUAAUACCUUAACGAGGUGGGAAGGGUAGAUAUGGAUAUGAUUACUGAUGCACUAAUAUCUUAUGUAGCCCCUCUUCUGAGGAGUGAUUACUGGGUGUUGCAUUGACAUGAUCCAUAUUAAUCAUAAACCUAGGACCCCCUCCCUUUUACUUUCUUUCGUCUAUUUCUUUUAGAAUUGUUUAGAUCUUUCAUAAAAUUUCUUCCCUCUUUACCUUUCCAAAGUUUCAACUUAUUUGAAAUGAUGUAUGCGAAUCCCUCCUAUUUGAGCCCUUAAUUUCUUACUUGAUUAUGUGAAGUCACAAUUAUAAUAUGGCCGGGAACAGCACUUGUAGAUCUUGAGGGGUGCCUAACACCUUCCCCUCGAGAUAAUUUCUUGCCCUUACCCAAACUCUUGUUCUUCAAACUCAAACCCUUAUUAGUGUCCUAAUACACUUAAUCAUUAGGUGGUGACUCUUCAAACUCCAAUAUCCAAUUCCCAAAAGGGAACGAGUUGUCCUAGCAAAUGUCAUAAACCCAAUUUUGCCUUAGAAAAAUGGGUCGCGACAGCAUGGCGAAUCUGCUGGGGAUUCUCUUUAAGCUUUUACCAUUUCAUGUUACUAAUGACUUUAUUGGUUCUUUAUUGCCUUUAUUUAAUGUCUUCAUCUCUCUUCUACUUCGAAACUGACUUGGCUAUUGGUUUCUUUUCUUUUAAUGCUUUCCUUCAAUACUAUUGUAAUUAUGAGCAAUUACUGUAAUCAUUACUUUAUGAACGUGCAAAUACAUUACAACUUGUUUCAUUCAUGUAAUUGCAUCCUCAAUGUCAUAUUCCACUCGCUUGAGUUGUCCGCUCAGGGUACCGGUCUAAUACCCCAUAGAAAUCGUACUAUGUUCAAUUGUGCAUGCAUCACUGUCAAACCUAGUCGAGUCGGUUAUGCUGACCGCAUAAUGACUCUUUAAGAUAUCCUUGUAAAAAGUCCUCUGGUUUUCCGUGCAACCAAAACGGACACUACCACGUCUGUGCAUAUAUUUGGAGAACUAAAUGCUGCAUAUGGCAAUUAUGAUAUUUAUAUAGUCAAGUCUAGAGGAGGUAAGGGCUUAACACAUUGUUUUGCCGAAAAUAAGGCACGACGUCCCCAAUUUUGGCAUGGUAGCCAACAUCCACCCAAGGUUGUUAAGCUGGUGGGAAGACGCUCACUCUAGUGAUAAGACUUGUCCGCAAAUAUUUGGGAAAUUUUCCUUCUCUCUUAGAAAUCCAACUUGACAACAAAAUCAUAGAGGCUGCAACUCUAUUCUGGGAUGGCGAUAGAUCGGUGUUCCGCUUCAGGGACCUUGAAAUGAAACCUCUGCUCGAGGAAAUAGGAGGAUUAGCUGGUAUUCCAUGGAAACUACGGGCUUACUUAUGCCGGAUAAUCACAAGAGUAGGGGUUUUCUCAAAAUGAUGGGACUAAAGAAGAACACAGACUUGACCUGUUUGAAGGAUUCCUACAUUCCUUUCGACUAUCUGUACGAGAGGUACGACCAUAGUAAGUCUUAUCGCACUCACCCAGAUUAAUUCGCCCUCACCUCCUUAGGACAUAUCCAAAGAAGAGUUUUCGUCUAUAUGUUCUACUUAUUGGGGAUGAUAGUAUUUCGUAUGAAGAAGGCUACGAUCCAUACCCGACUGGCCAUGGUCACCAAGACUUUGAUGGAAGGAAUUGGCGGGCAACCUUUCAGUAUAGUACCUAUAAUUGUUGAUGAGAUAUAUUGGGCCCUGGAAAACUGUCAACGAGGGGCCAAACACUUUGAGGGUUGUAACUUACUACUCCAACUAUAGCUCAUGGAGCACCUCCAAAAGGGUGAUUAUCAACAAGAGAUUAUGCGCAGAGACUGGGAUGAUCAUAUUGCCUUCCAUCAGCCAAGGCGAAUGAAUUAUAUGCCUAACAUGUCUGCUUAACCAGAAGAUACUAAAGAGUGGGUAGAGUUGUUUGAAAAUCUGAAAGAGGACUAAGUGUAGUGGACGUUCGAAUGGUUCCCUAAUGAAGAGUUCAUCGUCCGAUCUCGGGAUGCACCAUUUCUUAUACAAGGAGAGUCGACAAAAUGAGCCAUUUCAGGGUUGACUUUCAAGACGAUGAUAGUCUAUACAAGUGUCAAGCUCAACGCAUGUGGCAUUGCAAAAUCAUCCUGGGAAAGGAUUCCAUAGAACCAGAUAGGUACCAUGCUUGGUUACCCCAUACUAUCUAAGUUGGUUGGAAGAAGAUCAUAGUAGGGUAGGAUAACCUGGGAUUGUUCGAGGUCACAGAAUCAUCGACGAAAAGGCUGAAAUACAGGUUUAGUACAACUAAUUAUGCAAGAGAAUUCGCGAAUGCAAGAGUGAGCACCAGGAAAUUCAAGAAGCCCAUCAAAAGAUGAUUGAAGAAUGGAAAGAUAUAGCUGUCGGCGCCAACAAGGGACUAGGGUAUUUGGAAUAGGGAUUAGUAUAGUUGGAAAGGAAGUUCAUCCAGAGGAUUGAAAACUGCCAGAACGUUGAGGGAAAUGAAGGAGGACACUUGACUAGAGCCUAUUUGCUACUGGGACUGCGUGAGAUGGUGAAGCUGUUCGAUGGAGCUAAGAUACCGAGUCUGGGAAGGUCCUUUUGGGACCAAGUAGUUAGGAUAUUUUCUUUUUGCCUUAAAUGUAAUAAAGCCAAUGGCUAUUAGUGACAUUUUUAUUUUCUGCAAUGUUAGUGCCGUUUUGGGAUUCGUCUUAUUUUUAUCAAUAAAAUGAGGCAUUUAGCAUUAUAAGUUCUCCAAAUCAACUUGUCGCUAGGCCUACCUCGGGCAAAAUGAGGCUCCCAAAAUUAGGACACGAUUCAUAUUCUUGCACUAUGUGUUUAAAUAUUGCAACGUUUACUUCUCAUAAUCCUCACUAACUUGUUACCUCCUUUUUUUACUGUUGUUUUAUUCCUCUCCGCAAAGGUUAGUUCGUACACUCUAGCAUCAUCAUAUUAAUCUACAAGAGCUAAGGGCCCUCCACCUCCUCAUCCUCCUCCGAGUGCUAUAAAAAACAAGAACAAGGGAAAAAUGGAAGACUUGAGAAACAUCAGAAAGGAUAACUCAAAUGAAAGGGUAGAGGUUCCUCAGGGUAUUCAGGUUUCCAAGGAAAGUGCCUCCCAACUCAAACAUAAGUUAUUGAAGUUUCAGGAAGAACUCGACCAAGUUCAGAACUUGGCGAACUUGUCAUUUUCCCUCACUACCCCAGAUGUCAACUUUCCCAACUCUCAAAACCCCACAACUCCACAAAACAUCCUGAAACUAGAGAAACAACCCGUUCCCCAUCAACACUGCAACACAUGCCACACUUAAAACAACACCCCACUGCUCAUCUGUGAACAGCUAAACUCCACAAAUGAUCAUCUCUACAAUACCCCCAUCUACGUGGAAACCAUGCCACACUUUACUCAGCCUAUUUCAGGUAUACUAAAGUCUGAUGACAAAGACUAUAUUAUCUAAAAUCUGGCAGCAGAACUCAAGAAGCUGACUAGCAGAGUUCACGGUGUCGAAGUAAGCAAGGGGAUUGAGGGACUGAAUUACGAGGACCUUUAUAUUCAGCCAGAUGUCGAACUGCUCGAGGGGUACAAACCUCCCAAGUUCAAGAUGUUUUAUGGCACAGGGGAUCCAGAGUUCAUUUGAGCACCUACCGUGACAAGCUGGUCGGGGUAGGAAAGGAUGAAAAGAUUCGCAUGAAGCUCUUCAUGAGAAGUCUGAAAGGAGAUGCUUUGUCUUGGUAAAUUAGCCAAGACGCGAAGAAGUGUAAAAAUUAGGUAAGUAUGGCGUCCGAUUUCUCGGACAGGUUCAGAUUCAACCCGGAGAAUGCGCCGGAUAUGUUUUAUAUCUAGAACUGAAAGAAGAAACACAACGAGCCAUUCCUCGAGUAUGCUACUCGUUGGAGAUCAGAGGCUGCUAAGGUCAGACCGGCCUUAGAAGAUGAACAGAUGAACAGGUUUUUUAUCUGGGCUUAAGAACCACAAUAUUAUGAGAGGUUGAUGUUGAUUGAAGACCAGAAAUUUUCCGACAUCAUCAAGCUUGGGGAGAGAAUCAAGGAAGGUAUCAAAACUGGUAUGGUCACUAGCUUUGAAGCAUUACAGGCCAAAAAGAAGGCUCUACAGUCUGGUGGCACGUCCAAGAAAAAGGGAUGUGAGUGUCGUGAUGGUUGCACAGAGGACAAAAUCCCCAAUCAAAUACCAAUCCUAUCCAUUACCUCCACUCACAUAUCAUCCUACCCCAAAUUACCAUGCACCCUCACCCUUUUGCCAAGCUCCACCGUCUACAUACCAAUCACCUUCACCUCCCACAUAUCUGCCUAUUUCACCUAGAUACUCUUAACAUGCACAUGUAUACCAAGACUAUAACACUCAACCCUGUCACUAUCAAUCACCCUACUCGCCAAACCUUUCCUAGACCUCGACUAAAUUUCGACCGUAGACCUCCCAAACAAUACACCGCCAUUGCCGAGCCAAUCGACUAGCUGUAUGAAAGGAUCAAAGCUGUUGGUUAUGUCACUAAUGUCCCUGCCAUAAACCCCAAAAACCCCUCCCAAUGGAUCAACCCAAACAAAACAUGUGCAUACCAUUCUAGCAUGAAGGGGAAUACUAUUGAUGAGUGUCGUUUUCUAAAGGAUGAGAUCCAAGUACUUUUAAUUGACAACACAAUUAUUCUAGCUAGGGAACCUCCUCCGAAUGUCCGCAACAACCCUCUGCCUAACAAUAAGGGCAGAUGCGUUCACAUGAUUGAGAUAAAAGACUACUGGAAAUCCAAAGGGUCGAUCGAAUUGAUCACUGAAGGUGACGAGCCAAUGAAACCAAGAGUCACACUUAAUCCGAUUGUGGUCUAGAUCCAGCCUUCUGAAGACGUUGAAGUAAACAUGUCCAUACCACUUGAGUUACCUUCUUAUGCAAAGGCGCCAAGACCUAUUGAGGUCGAGUUUGGGUCCCCAAAGGCACCUGUACCAUUCGAAGUGGAUGUGUUACCAUCCAAGUUAAUGUUACCCAUUCCAUUGGCUAUGUCAGCCACAACACCAUUUCAUACGAAUUCCAUCCCUUGGGAUUACAUAGCCGAGGGAAGGAGAAAAGGGAAAUCCAAAUCCGGAGAAGUAGUUGCGGCACAGGGUAUGACAAGAACUAGCAGGGUUUAUACUCCGGAGCAUCUGCAUGAGUCAAGCAAGAAGGCUUCUGGUCGGCCGACCAUCACUGAAACCAGGACUGAUAAUCUCUGGAGGAAGAUACAAGCAAAGGAGUACUCAAUCAUUGAUCAAUUGAACAAAACACCAGCACAUAUCUCCAUCUUAGCUCUGUUAUAAAGCUCUUAAGCACAUAAGAAUGCCUUAUUGAAGAUGCUCAGCGAGGCAUAUGUGCCCAGCAACAUAACUUGAGGAGAAAUGGAAAACAUAGUAGGGAAAGUAUUGGAGGUUCAUAAAAUCACUUUCCACAAAGAUGAGCUGCCACCGGAAGGGUUAAGCAACAACAAGGCAAUUGCACAUCUCUGUGCAAUGUGAAGAUUAUUUCAUCACCAGAAUUCUGAUUGACGGAGGGUCCAGCCUCAAUAUUUGUCCAUUGGUGACUCUCGAGCCUGCAUGAGAUCAAGGAUGGAUCCAUCAAUGUCAAAGCUUUCGAUAGUUCCCAAAGGUCCACUAUUGGGGAGAUUAGCCUGUGUUUACAAAUGGGGCCCAUUUAGUUUGACUUUGAUUUUUAAGUGAUAGACAUCCUAGCAUCCUACAACUUACUGUUGGAAUGACCCUGGAUUCAUGCCGAUGGAGCUGUAGCAUCAACCCUACAUCGGGCAGUGAAGUUUAAGUGGAAUCACCAAGAGGUUAUUGUUCAUGGAGACAAGUAGCAAUCCCAUAUACACUCGCCAGACCAUCCCAACAAUCGGAGUUAGAAGAAAGAUAGGCAGAGAAACCUACCACCAAAUUGAGCGAGUCAACGCUAUAGACAAGGAUAAAUGGUGGGAUGACAAAAUAUAAAGCAUAUUCAACUGGUGCAAGUAUGAACCAAGCAAGGGACUCGGCAAGAAUCGUUAAGGGAUUUCUAAGCCUAUCAAGAUGAAAAAACAUGGUACCACUUUUGGUUUGGGAUAUGAAUACAAUUGGGAGGAGUUCAACCACUGGUCGCCACUAUGGCGCAAUCCUUACUAUUCCCUAGAGAAGCUGAUGCAUCGCUUGGAGCAGAUGUUUUAACCAGCCGGUGUUAUAUAUUGGUCGGAAGAAGAGGAAGCACUGGCGGCGAUGAGGAAUUUGUUUUUGGAAGAUGACAACAUGGAUUGUUGUGUUAUUUCCGAGAAGGAGGGGGAGGAAGGCCCUUCCAUUCAAGUCGUGAACCGAGGAGCGCGCCUCAACAAUAGGUCCAUCAGAACCAUCAGGGCCCGAAAAAAUUUGGGUAGUGUCACACCUUCUUUUUACGCACCUACCCUAACGGAUAAUGUAUAGGGGAGUUUUUCCAUUUAAAGUUAUAUUAUUCGAAAUGAGAUUAUUUAUUUAUUUAGAGUCGCCACUUGGGAUAGAAUUGGCUUUUGGUUUCCCAAGUCACCGAUUUAUCUUGGAUCCCAAAUCGAGGAAAAUUUUGACUUCCCGAGUGGAGUGUUCGAACCAGAAAUUCUAAAUAAGGAAUUCUGUUGACCCGAGGGAAGGUGUUAGGCACCCUCGAAUCCGGUGGUUCUUGCACGGUCACUUAAACUAUUAUAAUUGGCUAAAAUAUGAUUUUAAUACAUGUCAUCCUAUAGUGCAAUCUUAACGAUAACUUACCGCUUUUAAUUAAAUUUUUAGAGAAAGUGAACGUCGUUUAAAAAUAUAUUUUUGGAUCACGUCACAUGAAAUGCACCUGGAUCCUUGACACAUUUUAUUCAACGUUUUGGGAUUUGGAUUUGGUUUGCAUUAAAUGCACACCCGUAUUUAGAAAGGUAAAAUUAUUAAAGGCGUGCCUAAAGCAACUAACAUGUUAUUAUCUUUGCGGGAGGCCGUGAAAUUCGCUAAACGGCAUUUCCCAGAUUCUAAGUAUUUCAAUAGGAUCACUUAAAGAGGGCCUCGCAAUUUAUGCAUUUUAUUUGGCGGGGCUAACCUCAUUUAUUAUUUAAAGGCCAAACUAAAGCAAACUACGACUUUCUUCCAAGUGUUGUAUCUAAAGGUGCCUUAAUUAAUUAGCGUGGUUAAAUGGAUAUUAUUAUAAAUUAUUCAAAGAAUUCGGGCCUCAAGCUCAAGCCUACAUUUGAACAAGAGCAUAGCCUCUUAACUCAAGUAUACUGCCUAGUUUGGAAGGCCCAAACCCUACGUUGUGAUUUCAGUCUCCGAACCCAAUACGAGUUCAGGUCCUUGAAAUUGGAUUUUAUUUUUUAAUAGGCCCAACAACAUAAGGAAAGAUCAUUUGUAACUGAGACCAACUUUUGGGCCUUGAGGAAAGCCCAAUCGAGAAGAACAGGUAGGGCUGGUAUUAGGCCUGGCGUUAGUACAUUGUGGCUCAACGCACAUGGAGUGGGCUAUCAGCUUUGGGCUUAUGAAUAAGCCCAGAAAGUAUUAUUGAAACAACCUUAGACAAUUACACUCAUCCAUUGGGAAUUGUGAGCAGAAAGAAACAUUCAAAUUCAAUGCAAUUGUCGAUUUAAUUCUAAAUUUUCUCUUCAAAUCCAAACUAGCGAAAUCAUUUAAAAGAACAAAACUGAAUUGCUCAUCAUCAAACUAGCGAAAUCAUUUAAAAGACCAAAACUGAAUUUAUCAUCAUCAAAUUCAAGGAUCAUGUCUUUAUUGAAAUACAAUUUAUGUUUUGAUUUUUUCUUUAAAUAGAUAUACUGAAACCUAACAGCUGAGAUAGCAAGUUUAUCUCCAUAAAUUGUGACUAUGCUUGUUCCUAAUAUCUCUCUUAUCUAUUCAAAAAACAUGAAAGCUCAAACAGUCAACCUUAACCAAAUUAAAUCUAUUAUUAAUCAGUACUAUCUUUCAUCAUGCUGAAUCUUAAAAAACAAUAGUCCAAAGCAGUCUGAAAUAGUCCAGAUUAUACAGUCAUGCAUCUAUUUUUCAUGUGAUACAAACCAAAUAACUAACAUCAACUAACAUCUAUUUAUUUAUAAACAACAGAAAACAUCCAAUGAGCAUAAAUCUGAUGAACACUUUUCAUUUCAACUUCAAUUGAAAGCUACAUUGAGGUGAAUUCGAAGAUGUGUACCUGGAAUUUGACCAAAACAACAAGGAAAAGGAGAGAUCGUAGCAGUGUGAGACAAACACAGUUUCAAACAGCAAAGGACAACAAUAGCUAUUUUAGCUUGGAAUCCAGUAGAACCAGCAACGAAAAACACCAGCAAAUAGACUUAAAAAUUGACUGAACCAACCAAUUGCAGCUUGAAACAGCCAACACAGCUCAAAUACACCCAAACAUAGCUCGAAUUUGAACCCAAGACACUUCUGAAGCUUCAACACUUAAAAGUCAAGCUAAGAGAUGAGAAUUAAUGCGUAGAACUCAAAAUUAACCUAGAAAAUCCAAUGUAACAGUGUUUUUUGGAGUUUUUUUACUGGUUUUUCUCUUUUUGUUUUGAUUUUGAAGGACUUAAGAUCUAAGGGGAAUUUUGAACUAUAAGAGUUCAGAAUUUUUUCUUCUUUUGAUUUGAAAUUCAAAUUUCUAAGGCUAAAAUGUGCUCAAAAUGCUUUGGGAGGGAAAUUUGGAUGUUGGAAGAUUUUUGGGGAAUUUGCAGAUGUUCAAAAGAAGGCAGGUAGGCUACCUUUUAUAAGCAGAAGAGGGGGAGGA